AUCUAUGGCUAUACCACCCUGAACAUGCCCAAUCGCAUCUGAUCUUGGAAGCUGAGCAGGGUAUGGACUGGUUAGUACUUACUAUUGGAUGGGAGAAUAAUGAUAAAAC
ensembl:rRNA 5S_rRNA 5S ribosomal RNA